rnacentral:rRNA from 1 species
UGAGGAAUUUUGCGCAAUGGCCGCAAGGCUGACGCAGCAACGCCGCGUGGGUGUAGAAGGCCUUCGGGUCGUAAAGCCCUGUCAGGUGGGAAGAACACCAUGGGGACGAACAAGCUUCAUGGCUGACGGUACUACCAGAGGAAGCACCGGCUAACUCCGUGCCAGCAGCCGCGGUAAUACGGAGGGUGCGAGCGUUAUUCGGAAUUACUGGGCGUAAAGCGCGUGCAGGCGGUUUGGCAAGUCUGAUGUGAAAGCCCCGGGCUUAACCUGGGAAGUGCAUUGGAAACUGCCGGACUUGAGUACUGGAGAGGAAGGGGGAAUUCCCGGUGUAGAGGUGAAAUUCGUAGAGAUCGGGAGGAAUAUCAGUGGCGAAGGCGCCCAUCUGGACGGUAACUGACGCUGAGACGCGAAAGCGUGGGGAGCAAACA